rnacentral:rRNA from 1 species
AUUGAACGCUGGCGGAGUGCUUUACACAUGCAAGUCGAACGGCAGCACGGACUUCGGUCUGGUGGCGAGUGGCGAACGGGUGAGUAAUGUAUCGGAACGUGCCCAGUCGUGGGGGAUAACGUAGUGAAAAUUACGCUAAUACCGCAUACGAUCUAUGGAUGAAAGCGGGGGAUCGCAAGACCUCGCGCGAUUGGAGCGGCCGAUAUCAGAUUAGGUAGUUGGUGGGGUAAAGGCCCACCAAGCCAACGAUCUGUAGCUGGUCUGAGAGGACGGCCAGCCACAAUGGAACUGAGACACGGUCCAGACUCCUACGGGAGGCAGCAGUGGGGAAUUUUGGACAUUGGGCGAAAGCCUGAUCCAGGCAUUCCGCGUGCAGGAUGAAGGCCCUCGGGUUGUAAACUGCUUUUGUACAGAACGAAAAGGUUUCUACUAAUACUAGGAGCUCAUGACGGUACUGUAAGAAUAAGCACCGGCUAACUACGUGCCAGCCGCCGCAGUAA